UACAGAGGGUGCAAGCGUUGUUCGGAAUUACUGGGCGUAGAGCGCGUGUAGGCGGCUUAUUAAGUCGGACGUGAAAUCCCUUGGCUCAACCAAGGAACUGCGUCCGAUACUGCUAGGCUUGAGUGUCGGAGGGGGUGGCGGAAUUCCUGGUGUAGAGGUGAAAGUCGGAGAUAUCAGGAGGAACACCUGGGGCGAAGGCGGCCACCGGGAAGACAACUGACGCUGAGACGCGAAAGCGUUGGGAGCAAACAGG
rnacentral:rRNA from 1 species